UAAUACAUGCUUUUUGUUUUUCAUUAAAGUAACAUUAAAUAAAUACAUAUUGAUAAUAAAUAAUUAACAAGUUACCUAAGAAAAAAGACGUAAAUCAAUACUCAUUGUUAUAUUUAAUAUCUUUUCGUUACAUUCUCCUUCAAUAUUAUGAAGAAAUUGUUUGUAAGGAAAAAAAAAAAUACAGAAAAAAGAAAUAAAUAAAAAAUAGAGAAAAAAGGAAAAAGAGAGAGAGAGAGAGAGAGAGAGAGAGAGAGAGAGACGAGGAAAAAAAUGAUAAUUAAAGAUGCUGUUGUCAUUUCAAUUAGAACUCUUUCCUCGUAAUACUACUUACAUGAUAUUUAUGAAUUACAAAGCUUUGCGUUCCUAACUCGCAGACUUGCGUAAUCCUUCAGAUCGCGAAAAUUAGGUCCGCUUAUGUUGGAAUUUCAUUGUUUUCAUCAUCGACACAUUAUUAUUAUCUUUUUUUUCGUUUUAACGUUAUUGCAGAUAUCAAUCCUCGUAUCAAUUCGAUAACGUGCAUAUAUGUGUGCGAUAUAUAUAUAUAUAUAUAUAUAUAUAUAUAUAUAUAUGUACGUGGUAUAUAAACAGUGUACCUGCAUACACACAUAGAUACACUUAUUUGAUUUAAAGGCCUGUUAAGAGGAUGAUAUUGAACGUAUGUAUGAAUGUAUCUCGUUUCCUUCCAAGAGUUACAUUCAAUUUCUAUUCAGGCCCGUCGGAUGACGUCGAAGGCCGAAUUAUUACUAAUGUCGAGGACGUUUGUACCUUCGAUUACCUAGAAUGCAAGUGUGUUCAUAUAGAAACAUAUCUUCCAACAACAAGGACGAAGGAAGUUCUGCAUUCUAGUUAGUUUUGAAUUAACCGGACGCAUUAAAUCCACGUAUAUACUGACCGACUUGUCAAGUUUAUUUAACUAGGACGACAUCUUUUAACACGUACCGUGUCAAGUCAUUUUUGCCUGACUUGUCGUUCAGGCCAUUUGAUAUUUUGACUAAAGAAAAAAAUGACUGCGUGUACUACCGGUGGUACACGUGACCUGAAGAUCAAGAUUAACGUGUACCACCGGUGGUACACAUGGCACGGAACGUGUCAAUACUUGAAUU